GAUGAACGCUGGCGGCGUGCUUAACACAUGCAAGUCGAACGGAAAGGCCACAGCUUGCUGUGGUACUCGAGUGGCGAACGGGUGAGUAACACGUGGGUGAUCUGCCCUGUACUUCGGGAUAAGCUUGGGAAACUGGGUCUAAUACCGGAUAGGAAUCACAUGUGGGUGUGUGGUUGGAAAGCUUUUGCGGUAUGGGAUGAGCUCGCGGCCUAUCAGCUUGUUGGUGGGGUAAUGGCCUACCAAGGCGUCGACGGGUAGCCGGCCUGAGAGGGUGUACGGCCACAGUGGGACUGAGAUACGGCCCAGACUCCUACGGGAGGCAGCAGUGGGGAAUAUUGCACAAUGGGCGCAAGCCUGAUGCAGCGACGCCGCGUGGGGGAUGACGGCCUUCGGGUUGUAAACUCCUUUCGUCAGGGACGAAGCGAAAGUGACGGUACCUGGAUAAGAAGCACCGGCUAACUACGUG
rnacentral:rRNA from 1 species